rnacentral:rRNA from 1 species
GACGGAGGGUGCAAGCGUUGUUCGGAUUGACUGGGCGUAAAGGGCGUGUAGGCGGUCGGCCAAGUCUGAUGUGAAAGCCCGAGGCUCAGCCUCGGAAGUGCGUCGGAAACUAGUCGGCUGGAGCGCGAUAGAGGAGGGUGGAAUUCCUGGUGUAGCGGUGAAAUGCGUAGAUAUCAGGAGGAACACCGGCGGCGAAGGCGGCCCUCUGGAUCGUUGCUGACGCUGAUACGCGAAAGCGUGGGUAGCAAACAGG